CCUCAUGUCAUGAAAUAUGAAAAGCUGACCAUCCAAGAAGCUCAACGAACCCCAUAUAGAUUAAAGGAUCUGCUGGGGGAUUAUGGGGAAGUAGAAGAACAUCAUUUCCCUCCAUAGCACUGAACAACAGUCAUUGAAUAGAGUUGGGCUCUAGAUGAUCAGCGGGCUUCAGAAAAUUAAAACACAUAAUCUCCAAGGUUAUGGCAAAUUCAAGGACAGGACUCAGUGGGAAGGAGUGAGUGUGCUCUGAAGAGAUUUCACAGGUUCACAGAUGAAGAAGAAAAUUGCCCUA